rnacentral:rRNA from 1 species
GGCGGUGGCGUGCUGUACAUGCAGUCGACGGUGAAGAGAGCUUGCUCUCUGGAUCAGUGGCGAACGGGUGAGUAACACGUGAGCAAUCUGCCCUUGACUCUGGGAUAAGCGCUGGAAACGGCGUCUAAUACCGGAUACGAGCUGCGAAGGCAUCUUCAGCAGCUGGAAAGAACUUCGGUCAAGGAUGAGCUCGCGGCCUAUCAGCUUGUUGGUGAGGUAAUGGCUCACCAAGGCGUCGACGGGUAGCCGGCCUGAGAGGGUGACCGGCCACACUGGGACUGAGACACGGCCCAGACUCCUACGGGAGGCAGCAGUGGGGAAUAUUGCACAAUGGGCGCAAGCCUGAUGCAGCAACGCCGCGUGAGGGACGACGGCCUUCGGGUUGUAAACCUCUUUUAGCAGGGAAGAAGCGAAAGUGACGGUACCUGCAGAAAAAGCACCGGCUAACUACGUGCCAGCAGCCGCGGUAAUACGUAGGGUGCAAGCGUUAUCCGGAAUUAUUGGGCGUAAAGAGCUCGUAGGCGGUUUGUCACGUCUGCUGUGAAAACUGGAGGCUCAACCUCCAGCCUGCAGUGGGUACGGGCAGACUAGAGUGCGGUAGGGGAGAUUGGAAUUCCUGGUGUAGCGGUGGAAUGCGCAGAUAUCAGGAGGAACACCGAUGGCGAAGGCAGAUCUCUGGGCCGUAACUGACGCUGAGGAGCGAAAGGGUGGGGAGCAAACAGGCUUAGAUACCCUGGUAGUCCACCCCGUAAACGUUGGGAACUAGUUGUGGGGUCCAUUCCACGGAUUCCGUGACGCAG